rnacentral:rRNA from 1 species
AUUGAACGCUGGCGGCAGGCCUAACACAUGCAAGUCGAACGAGUGGCGGACGGGUGAGUAAUGUCUGGGAAACUGACUGAUGGAGGGGGAUAACUACUGGAAACGGUAGCUAAUACCGCAUACCAUCGGAUGUGCACAGAUGGGAUUAGCUAGUAGGUGGGGGAAAGGCUCACCUAGGCGCAGAUACCUAUCUGGUUUGAGAGGAUGACCAGCCACACUUGAACUGAGACACGGUCCAGACUCCUACGGGAGGCAUCGGUGGGGAAUGUUGAACAAGUGGCGCAAGCCUGAUGCAGCCAUGCGGCGUGUAUGAAGAAGGCCUUCGGGUUGUAAAGUACGUGCAGCGGGGAGGCGUUACCCGCAGAAGAAGCACCGGCUAACUCCGUGCCAGCAGCCGCGGUAAUAC